UGGGGAAUCUUAGACAAUGGGCGCAAGCCUGAUCUAGCCAUGCCGCGUGAGUGACGAAGGCCUUAGGGUCGUAAAGCUCUUUCGCCAGGGAUGAUAAUGACAGUACCUGGUAAAGAAACCCCGGCUAACUCCGUGCCAGCAGCCGCGGUAAUACGGAGGGGGUUAGCGUUGUUCGGAAUUACUGGGCGUAAAGCGUACGUAGGCGGACUAGUCAGUCAGAGGUGAAAUCCCAGGGCUCAACCCUGGAACUGCCUUUGAUACUGCUAGUCUUGAGUUCGAGAGAGGUGAGUGGAAUUCCGGUGUAGAGGUGAAAUUCGUAGAUAUUCGGAGGAACACCAGUGGCGAAGGCGGCUCACUGGCUCGAUACUGACGCUGAGGUACGAAAGUGUGGGGAGCAAACAGGAUUAGAUACCCUGGUAGUCCACACCGUAAACGAUGAAUGCCAGACGUCGGGGGGCUUGCCCUUCGGUGUCACACCUAACGGAUUAAGCAUUCCGCCUGGGGAGUACGGUCGCAAGAUUA
rnacentral:rRNA from 1 species